rnacentral:rRNA from 1 species
GUGCCAGCAGCCGCGGUAAUACGGAGGGUGCAAGCAUUAAUCGGAUUUACUGGGCGUAAAGGGCGCGUAGGCGGGUGAACAAGUCAAAUGUGAAAUUCCGGAGCUCAACUUCGGAGCGGCAUUUGAAACUGUUUGUCUAUAGAGGGAUGGCGGAGAAAAUGGAAUUCCACAAGUAGCGGUGAAAUGCGUAGAUAUGUGGAAGAACACCAGUGGCGAAAGCGGUUUUCUAGCUAUUACCUGACGCUGAGGCGCGAGAGCAUGGGGAGCAAACAGGAUUAGAUACCCUGGUAGUCCAUGCCGUAAACGAUGUAUACUUGAUGUAGCUGGGCUCAACCCCGGCUGUGUCGAAGCUAACGCGAUAAGUAUACCGCCUGAGGAGUACGCUCGCAAGGGUGAA